rnacentral:lncRNA from 1 species
CCAUUCUACACUUCUCCUUAGAAAAAAUGCCUUGCAAUGCGUCAUAAUUAUCUGGACUACUAACUUACUUCCAUAUAACUUCGAAAACAGACUAUAAUCUAUUUCACUGGAUGAGAUUGGGCUCACAGAUUUUUUAAUGGAUUGGUAAUUUUAUUUAAAGCACAAGUUUACAAAGCAAGAUUAAUCACAUUUUUCACCCGGCCUACACAUCAAAUGGUUGCCUCCUUACUGACUUACACCUACACAAGCUAAACAAACAUGUGACAACUCUUCACCAAUGACCUGAGUGAAAGGUUGACGGGGGGAUCCAGAACUUUUCAUUGGGGGGGGGGGGGGGGUUCAGAUGGGGGAUGCUUGCCUCAGUCAUGUUUCUGUGAUUCCCUAUAUAAUCAACAAAAUUUUUCACACAAAAAGGGGGGCAGGGAUUUCUCCUUAAUAAGAAAUCUCUAUUUUCAGCAUAAGCUCAUAUAAAUUUGCCUUUUGAAGAACUGAAAUAAAUAUGAGACGGCUAAUGAUUUUUCAGAUGCUUUACAUUAAAAUACAUCCAUGUGACAUUCACAAUUAUAUAUAGAUCCAAAUUUAAAAAGCUAUUUUUUUCAAUAUUUAAAUAAUGUAGGAUCAAAUCUUGAUACAUGUAUGUAGUUGAAACUGUUAGCUUUAAACAUGUUAAACAUUAAAAAAUGAACACCCAAAGUUUAAACCACGUUUAAACAUAAGAAUGACCAUGUAGUCUUUAUUAAUGUAUGCUAUUGCUAUGAAACUAGGUCAUUGUAGGUAAACUGUCAUCUAUUCCCUUAAAUCUUUGUUCCCAGUCACCCCAAGUUUGAUUUAAAUUAGUCAAAUAUAUAUCUACUCUAUUAGGUCUCUAGUUUGGAUAGUUAAUAACUUGCAAAUUAAAAUCAUACUCCUCCCAAAUUUAUUUCUUUAAAUAUUAUGGAUGAAAUACAUGUAGCAAGUAAGGGAUGAAAUUAAAUUGGAUGAAAUGUGGCAUUUUUUUUUUUGAUAAAGUAGUAUGUCUGAUGUUGUCAAACUUAAUUAUAGACCCUUAAGGGGCGGAUCCAGUCAUUUUAAAAAGGGGUGGGGGUGGGAUUCUAACCCAGGACAAAAGGGGAAUUUAGGAAUUACAUGAAUUAGGGGCCAAUAGGGGGUAAAACUUUGCAUUUCGAAAUUUUAUAGAAAAUUGAAUUAUUGGAGUUCUUUUUUUGAUAUGCCAAAUCUAACUGUGUAUUUAGAUUCCUAGUUUUUUGGUCCUGUUUAAAUUGGUCUACCUUAAGGUCCAAAGGGUCCAAAAUUAAACUUAUUUUGAUUUUAACAAUAUUUAAAUUCUUGGUGUUCAGAUUAAUAUGCUGAAUCUGAAUAUUUACUUAGAUUUUUUUAUUAUGGGCCCAAAUUUCAAGUUGGUCCAAAUCGGGGUCCAAAAUUUUACUUUGUUUGAUUUCAACAAAAAUUGAUUAUAUGAGGCUCUUUGAUAUGCUGAAUCUAACCAUUCAUUAAGAUUUUUGAUAUUUUGGCCCGUUAUCAAAUUGGUCCACAUUGAGUUCUAAAAGGUCCAAAAUUUAACUUUAUUUGAUUUCACCAAAAAAUGAAUUAUUGGGGUUCUUUGAUCAUGUUGAUAUGCUGCAUCUAACCAUGUAUUGAGAUUUUGAAUAUUGGACCAUUUUAGAGGUUAAUUGUCAAUUUAAAAUUUUUAAGUACUUGGACCGCAUUCAUUCUGUGUCAGAAACCUAUGCUGCAUCAACUAUUGAAUCACAAUCCAAAUUUAAAAUUCAGAGUUUAUCGAGCUUGAAUGUUGUGUCCAUACUUGCCCCAACUGUUCUGGGUUCAACCUGUACGUUUGUAUCAAGCUGAGCCAUGCAUAGCAUUUUUAUUGGUUAUUUAUAUAUUAAUUUGAAAUUUUGACAAGUGAGACACAUACAGAUUAUACUGUUAACAAUAUUUCAGAGUUUAACGUAGUCAAGCGAAACAAAUUUUAGAAGAAUAGUUGAAUCAUGUCUUUGUUGUCAAAUGAAAAAUUAGUACGAACACAAAGAAAAAGUAUGGGAAUGUUUGUUUUUUAAACUAUUGACCAGGGUGAAAGUCUUUGAAAGUCAUGACUGGCAAAAAGUUUGUGAAAUGAAAUAGCACAAAUAUUCCAUUCUUUUUAAAUAUAACUGAAUAUAAAGAAAAACACAAACUGAUGUUUUAUAAUAGUUUUUACCCUUUUUAUGUUUUAUAGGACAAGAAAUAUAGAAAAAUAAUGAAAAAUAUAAACAGUUACAAUAGAAAUGAGCGCAAAACAAGAUAAACAGAAUACAACAAGGCCUAAAUGGUAAGACCACUUCUAUAUACUGUAAAUUCAGAUUUUUCAGGGAAUGGAC